rnacentral:rRNA from 1 species
GAUGAACGCUGGCGGCGUGCCUAAUACAUGCAAGUCGAGCGAACAGACGAGGAGCUUGCUCCUCUGACGUUAGCGGCGGACGGGUGAGUAACACGUGGAUAACCUACCUAUAAGACUGGGAUAACUUCGGGAAACCGGAGCUAAUACCGGAUAAUAUAUUGAACCGCAUGGUUCAAUAGUGAAAGACGGUUUUGCUGUCACUUAUAGAUGGAUCCGCGCCGCAUUAGCUAGUUGGUAAGGUAACGGCUUACCAAGGCAACGAUGCGUAGCCGACCUGAGAGGGUGAUCGGCCACACUGGAACUGAGACACGGUCCAGACUCCUACGGGAGGCAGCAGUAGGGAAUCUUCCGCAAUGGGCGGAAGCUUGACGGAGCAACGCCGCGUGAGUGAUGAAGGUCUUCGGAUCGUAAAACUCUGUUAUUAGGGAAGAACAAAUGUGUAAGUAACUAUGCACGUCUUGACGGUACCUAAUCAGAAAGCCACGGCUAACUAUGUG